CAUUUUUCCCGUUCGUCGUUCUCGCGAAGGUGUUUUCGUCGUUCGCUAAAAUUCGCAGUGAAAAUCGAUUCAAAAUUCGUCCUUUCGGUGUCCUGGCGAUCCGCUUGGGGCGGAUUUCGUUGAAUUCAAUUGAAAUAAGUCCGUCAAAUCAGUGGUUCGAAUCUCAGUGAUAGGUGGGUGUUAAAAAUCGCCAGUGGCGAGUCGAGCGAAUCUCCUCGCGAUUGAUCGUUUUUUUUAUGCUCGUGCUAGCAGGGGUCUGUGGUUUAUGCUGCUGCUGCUGCUCAUCUAUUUAGUGCAGUUGUGUGAGUGAAAGCGCGAUUCUUGUUUUGACUUUUGAUGUUGAUCAUCAUCACGCUCGCACUAUCAUCAUCAUCAUCAUCGUCGUCAGUACGAGGAAGUGUCAAUUUUCUGGGUGCAAUCAUUGUGCAAAAUAUUACCAGACGAAGCGAAGUUCGAUCUGUUUUCUCUGUGUUUUCAAAAGUUUUUGGAGGUGCCUAGUUGAGUUCCAAGCUGGAAAUCGUGUUCCGGGUCGUUAAUUUCAUCUGGACUCCGACCCACAGUCCAAUCCGGCAAGUGUGUGAGCGCCGCAGCCGCAGAGUGCGAGAAGGUCGCCAAUUUUCUCGAACGCUCCUCACGGAUUCACAACACAGCCCCCGUCGUCGUCGUCGUCUGACCCAAAACACACCAUCAUCGCGGCGACGGAAAAUCUAUACGCAGCAGAGAGCGAGAUCAGAUCGAGAGAGAGAGAGAGCGACAGAGGAAAAUCUCCGUGUUGUGUAAGCGGAAAACGAGGAAAAUCUCCCGUCAUCGUAUCCCCCAGCAUAUACCGUGCGGUGCUGUGGUUUGUUGUUUCACAAUUCGAAGAAGAUUGCUUCGUUCGAAGCGAAGUCCGAGUCGUAAAAAUCCUAUCCAAUACCUACGGACGACGAAGGUGAUCUGGUGUGACACAUUGCAAGUAUACGUACUCGUUACGUCUCAGUUUUUCUGUCGUAGGUACGCGUGAAGAAAAGUGCGUUCCGUUUUUGGACAAUCUCGGUUAGGAAUCUCCUGUGUGUGGAUUUUCACAGUGGAAAACAGUGGCUAUUUUUCGAAACGGAAAAUAGACGUCCCGUGAAGGCCUUCAGCGGAGAAAACCAAAGUCAUCCUUUGGUGUGCCCUCCUCUGAGUAAUAGUGUGAUACUGAUAGUGGCUAUCACGCGAGCACACAUUCCCAGCUCGCACUGACGACGACGACGACUACGGAUGAAGGCAGUCAGCCACCUAGUCCUGCUGGCGUGAAACACGUCAAAACCCGAAAAAUCAAUGAAUCUGAAUUGUUGCAACCAGACGUCGACGACGGCACCGUAACGCUAGAUUCGAUCGGAAGCGCAUCCUGGCCACUACGUACCUGGUUGGAACAUCACACGAAUCUCGACUCCUCCUCGUUUUGGAGGAUUGGUGAGGAGGCUGCUGUGCAUAGAAUCUCUCCUCCUGGUGUGGUGGCACUGCUCUCCGUAUCCGUGACAGAAUCUCGUCCGUUCUCGAUUCUCGACCCUUCUCCGUUCAACGGGGGAAGUGUAGUUACGCGGUGUAAUCCGAAAUUCAACGACGAAGCAAAAACAGCGAGUGAGAAAUAGUUUGGGGUUUGUGUUUUGGUAGAUGGGAAAAGUCGCGCUGCUGGUGGCGUGAUUAUGAAAUCGUAAGCGAAAAGUGAGUGAGGGAACCUGUGUCAGAGGGAAAAUCGGUUGCAGUUUUCCUCGACCGAAGAAAACUACAGCGCACAGUGUGCGGGAGGUUUGUUAGAAAAUAGGCAAGUGGAAAGUGCUGCGUUCUAGCUGUUAUAUAAGAGUGUGUAUUUCUCAGCACAAUUUUUUUUUCUGUCUCGGUGAGAUCGGCCUUGCCGUUGAUCUGUCCUGUUGGUUAGUUUGGUGUAAUUUUUACGAAGAAUUACGAAAGAGACGUCAUCGAUAUAGUGGAGAAAGGGGAAAGCUGUGAAGAAUCUGUGGGGAGGGAACCAGUGUAGUGAAUCAAGGUGAAAAUAGAAAAACAUAAGCUGUGUCGGCUGUAACCGCGGAACCGAUCGCCGCAUCGAGCGAUUUCUGGCGUGAUUGAGCCAAUUUUUCUCGUCGAGUGACCCCGGAGAGCCAGAAAAAGCCGUCAAACUGGAGCGACUUCCAGAAUAUCUGCGUGACACCGUGGACUGGUUUAUGGGGUACGUAUCUCAAAAUCAUGGAACAUCACAGAUGACUGGCGAUGUAAGAAAAAUAUGUAAUCAUGCCAUUGAAGCAUUAGAUUAAGGUGAAACAUCAAGAAAGAAAUCCCUUCACAAUUUUGCAUACAAACUUUAGAGGCACAAAUCUGACGAACGACGCAUCGAAUCAAGCCGGACUUGUUUAUCACUUGCAAAAAAAAGGCAGCUUUUCCAAAUCGAGCGUAUAUGUUUACGAAUUGUUAAGAUUGGUGCUCUUGAAAACGUGAGUAGGGGUCGAAGUCGGCCAUUGUGGCAGCCAUAUUUGUAUCCUUUGAUGUUUCUCCUUAAGCUACAGUGUUUUUUUUAUAAUUGCCCGUACAACCCCCGACAACAUGGAGUCACAUAGAAAUGCGCGUAUUACAUAAUAUAAAGUACUAUUUUAGGUCUAUUUAGUGCGGUGAUUCCCAAAGUGGUCAUUGGCAGAGGAAGCUCUGAGUUAAUAACUGUGGCUGAGAAGCAAGCUUUGUCCUAGUGAGGACGUUACGCCAAGAAGAAGAAGAAGAAGAAACCUCAGUGUUGAAAAUUCGUGAUUGAUUUUUUUUUCAAAUUAUGAAUGGGAAAGGGGCUUUUUUGACUUGAUAAGAUAAGAAAAUUUUGUUUUUAAUUCAGGGGAAAUUACCUAUUCUCGGCCGUUUUGUUCUCUUCGUCUUUGGGGGUUUUUUGAAACCUAUUGAACUCAGAGUUGGUCUCAAAUCCUUCCCAACUAAGCUGAAUUAUAUGGCCAAGUUUCAGGCAAUUUGGCUGACAAAAACCCCCCAUGACGAAGAGAACAAACCUGCCGAUAAUACCCAUUGUCACCCUAUAUGCGUUUU